GUGGUUUGCCAUUUCCUUCUCCAGCUCAUUUGACAGGAUGAACUCUGGCAAGGAGGUGGAAUACUGUGCCUGCCUCACUGAGGUGAUCAGGCUCAAAGGGGAGUUUUCCUCAUGAAAUAUUGUGCCAACUUGGAUCUAGAGAGAAGCUCCACUGGUCAGUGUCUGAUCUGAGUGUCAGAUUACAUCUUAAGAAUAAUGAUGAUGAUUAUGACUAUAUUAACGCAACAUUGUAUUCCAAAGCACUUUACAUGCAUUUA